rnacentral:tRNA from 1 species
GUCCCACUGGUUUAGUGGCAGGAUAUCUGGCUUUCACCCAGAAGGCCCGGGUUCGAUUCCCGGCGUGGGAAA